rnacentral:lncRNA from 1 species
AGAUAACCUUUAAUAGCAAACAGCGGAUAGACAACUUUAAACUUCGGGUAUUAACUCCUCUCCACAGGAUCCAACUGACUGGUUGAUCACAAGCCCAAAACUUCUCCUGAGGUGUGGGGGGAAAUUGCAAGAGUGAGCACAUAUCGUACUCAACAAGUAUAACCAGGGGUUCAUGAGGCUCAAAUAGCUGACACUGGUUUGACUGCAUUUAGCUUUUAAUAGUUGAUAGCAUGUUUAAUCAUUGGAUAGCAAAUGUCAAGGUAGCAUAAUUAAUCCCAUAACCACAUGAUCAAUUGUAUACAGGAAUUAUGAAUAACACAUAUAAACAACAUAAUAAACCAUCAUUUAUCAUCAUUAAUCAAGUUCAUCAGUGUCCAUCUAUUCCGUCAGUUUUCCGGGCCGCCCGUAUCCGUGGGCACGGCUAGUAUACCAGAUUUAACACUCUGCAGAGGUUGUACAUCUUUACCCAUGAGUCAUGAUUUACCCUUUCGCCCGAGGCCCGUCGAUCUCUUAGCUCACUUCCAAGGAAAGCCGGCAGGGUUCACUAUGAAGUCUUUCAAAGGUUCGUCUAGCAAGUUAGGGCCGCAAGGUUUCGUUUGCGCGCAGAUAUAGAUACCCCCUUCCGAAUGGCACAAUGACGCGCAGCCUAUACACAUAGGGACAGGGGCUCGCACUAUACCCAAAACGGUUCAGCCCCUCCGCCCUUUCGGGUAACCUCUAACAAGCUAGAAAAGCUUACUCAUACUUGACUAAAGCCAGAGCCAUAUAGCCCUCAUGGUUGUACGAGUUGUCCCAGCUUUUGCCAAGGGAUAAGUCCUUAUGGAGGGUCAAGAUCAAUCCAGCAAAAGCUAGAGUUCUUUCCACCCUUUAUAUUCAAGUUGCUAGAAAGCUUAUUUUAUUGUUUAUUGUAUAUUCAAAUAUUCAUGUUAUAAGAUCAUGGAUUAUUAAUCAAGCACUAGCAAGAACUACCCAAAUGCAUAUCCAAAUAGGUAACAAGGAAUUCAGAAUAACAAUCAUCUAUGAUUUUGCUACGGUCAUCAAGGUGGACACAUGCAUAUGAUAAAUGUUAUAUUAAUUGUGUAUAGGUAACAAGGAUAGUCCCAAGUUAUACUUGCCUUAAUCUAAUUGCUCUUGCUGAUCUUGCUAACUCUGCUGGUCUUACUAGUUGUCCAAGGCUCUGAUCUCGAUCACUGAAGCACCCUUGAUCACCACGAAUUGUUUACCGGCUAAACUCGAUCAUCGAUCACACAAACAAACGGAGAAAACAUACACGAAGCAAACAAGACUACAAUUAGAACAGUACACCAAUCAAUAAAAAGGUUAAAAACAAAUAUACGCACAGUUACAGUCACGCAGACACAAAAAAACACACUAAUCGGAUCUACGGUGUAAAAAGAACAACUACCGAAAGAUUUGCAAGAGUAAAGACUAUAUGUUUGUUUUAUUUUAAUUAACAAAACCAUAUAAAAUCUACUAAUUCAGAUUAAUCAAAUUAUAUUUUAGUUUAGAAACUGAGCGAAAACUAAUCAUAUUUUAUUAACAUAUAUUAUCACAUAAUUCAACUUAGAUUUAUCUUGGUCAAAUUAAAAGGACGUGUGAGAACACCUACACGAACUGCAUGUGGCGUGGAUUCAAGCGAAGCAAAAUAUUAUAAUAUAAAAAUACAUUGGUGAUAGUGAUUAAUCUAUAUUAAUAUUUAAUUUAAUUAAAGACACAUAAGCACAUGUCAGAACAAACAUAACUAAUAAUAGACCGUGAUCAUCACGUCCUUGCAAACUCAGCACAACUUGAUCGCACUAAAAACAAAUUUAGGAUAGUGAAACUACCGAGUUUUAAGAACUGUAGCUAAUUAUUUAAAGAAAAAGACCAUACAAUAAAGAAUAGAUUAUUGAGAAAAUGUGAAGGAUGUAUGCGUACGUAUUGUAUUUGGCUUUUCAGGUAGGCACGGUAGCAGCACGCGACGGCACUCGGUAUAGGCACCCAGACAAGGCCACCGAACUGGCGUUACGUGUCCGCUGCAGCGAACAUGAAGAGGAGUAGAUUGGCAUUGACAGCAUGUAUAUCACAUAUAUACGUGGAGAGUAUCUGAUUAGAAGCAAAAGAUCAGCGUCUACUAAGCAACACAAGGUGGAUAAAAAGAGAUCAUCAUAUAUGGAUACACGUACGUGUUCGUCCAGAGCAUGGCCGGUGGCUUUGCUUAUUGCCGAGGAGAGGUAGGCAGGGCGUACAGGCGAGAGGCCAGCGGUGCCAACAGCGUCAUGGCAGGCAAGCUCGGAAAUCGUGGAUCGAUGGAGCGGCGGCGACAGCUGGUCUCUCGGCGAGAUCCAAAGGCGGCAAGAACAGAGAAACUUCUAAUUUAAUACAAGAGCGAUUUCCUAAACUAAAGGCUUUCUUUAUGAUAUGUUUUGUCUAAGGGAUUGGUACACAUAUAUAGAGAGAAAAACUAUCCACAUCUACAUCAAUUAGCGAUUAGCGAUAUGGUACUAAUUGAUUUGCAAUCUUCAUCUUUACUAAAAGACCUAAUUAAUUAUUAAAGCCCAUUAGUAAAUAAAGACAUUGACCAUUGAGAUCAUGGGCUUGAGCUUUUUAUUAUUUUCGAAAUUAAUUAAUUUGGCGAAUACAAUAAUCCUAGAAAAGUCCAGAAUUAUGAUUUAAGCCAUGAAAAAUACUCCAAAUAUUUCAGAAAUUCAAGGAAAAAUCUCGUAGACAUUAUGAAACAUGAGAAAACCAAUUAAAGUAUUUGGAUCUCAUGAUAAGAUAAUUUGAAGCAUCUAAAAAUUAGACUAUGCUUACAGAAAAGUGAGAACGGAAGCUAGAAAAUUCCUACAAAGUUUGUAGAGACUGCUUGAUGGACGAGGAACUAAAAGAAGUGCUUUGAGUGACAAAGAAAAGAUUUUAGGAAGCUCCUAAUAAAAACUUGAGCUUAGAAACAAGGAAUUUGGUUGUAGAUGAAGAUAAAGAUGUACGAAGAUCGUUCUACUAAACGAAAUUUUAAAAACUUUGCUUAAUCUCAACACACAAAGGAGCAACAAACAACAAACAAACAUCACAUAAAACAUAUGCACCAGCAUGUAUGCAUAAUAAUAUUGCUAAGCCAUAUGAUAAAUUUUAAUUUUAAAAAAAUAUUACUUUUUCCUAUAUUUUCAUGAGCACAAAAAUAUAAAAUUAAAUAAUUUUAUCUCUAUUUGAAAAGGAGUAAAUUUUAGGGUGUUACAAUUCUACCCCCUUAAGAUGAAUCUCGUCCUCGAGAUUCGGAAGACAGUUAUCAAAGAGACGUAGAUUUUGAAUCUUGUUCACUUUCUUGAGUAGUUAUAUCUUCAUAGCAAUGAUUCCACUCUCUUACUCCAUGUAGCCUCUCAAGUAUUCCUAAAAUAUCGACGAGACACCUAGUGUAGUAGGUACGAUCCUUCUUUAAACUUAUUUCUCCUAUCCUUUUUAGACGCUACACAUCAUAUAGUCUUUUAAAUCCGCUGUAGAGUCCCUUGAUCCAAGGUUAGUUUCAUCACUAAGUUCCAAUUAUCGGUACCUUUAUCAUAGUUAAGUUGCUUCACUCUCACACUAUACAUACAACUCUGUAGACUUUGGUGUCAUCUGAUCCUCAUACACAACUCUUAAUCCAUGAGUAUCAGUAAUGACAUAAACCUCCAUAGCUAUUAGCACACUCCAAAAAGAAUGAUAUCUUGAAACAAACCAACAUACCAAGCACUUGAUGUCCUUGUAGAUGUUCCAGUUAUUAACCACUUCUUCUCCUUGUAGUUCUUUAAUUGGGCUACCCCCCUUAAGAAAAGUCAACUAGGGGACCAAGAAAGGUAGCUUGCAUACUUUCCAGACAAGUUAACAUUGAGAACUUCUGACAUCCCAAAGAACUUAUGUGCAGUGGAGCAAAUAGGUAUCCUGAAAUUUCCUCGCGAUAUGAAAAAUACCGGCGUAGUAAAACAGGUAUAACUCUUAUUCUGUUAAUCCAAUAGAGUUGCAGAUUAUAUCGUUAGAAAACUUAUGAAAUUCCCUACAACUUUCAUGUAGAAGUCCUCCUUAGGUUCUGUCUUUAAGCAUAGGUAAAAAAACUAAACAUAAUAUACUUUCUGAUAAUGUCUCAGCAAAGGUGCAGUAAAUUCCAGAAAUUAUAUCUCGAGCUACUUAACUCAUCUGGAGAUGAUCCUUACAUUUUUGAAAAGCUUAGGAAAUCCUCUACAACUUUCAUAUACCAUGUUUUCCUAGAUUCUAUCUUUAACUUGGCCGAAAAUAGGGAAUACCAAAACUGUCCAGACUUUGAUACAGAACAGAAACAUCCAAUUGUAAAUAUCAUAUCUCAGGUUCUACUUAUCCAAAUAAGUUCCAGCUUAUACCGUUGGAAAGAAUAGAAAAUUGUCUACAACUUUUCUAUAGAAUACUUUUCCAAAUUCUAUAGUUAUAUAUGUCUAAAACAGCAAGUUCCCGAAACUGGUCCAGAUUCUGGACAGCACAUCUGUAUCAUCUUGUGAUUUUUGUAACUUCCAAACCAUAAUAGCUAUGAGGGUGAUACUUGCGGUCAAGGAAAGAUCUUGAAGUCUAGUUGUUUCCAGAAAUAUUUGGUAAAAUUUGCACAAUUAGAUCUUGAUGUACGCCAUGAUUAUUGCAGACUGCUCCAGAAGACAGCAAAGGACAGAAACAGAAUAUAACCAAACCCAACUACUUAUUUCAUUAAUCCUUAUGCCUUAGACCUAUGAACUAAUGAAUUUGUGAGAAAAUCCCACAAGAUCAUUGCACUCAUUACAAAGAUCCAAAUCAAGCAUAAAUAUAAUAACAACCAAUUAAGCAUUAAAGUUUCACACUUCACUCAACUUACGAUACUAUCGUUCUCUUCAUAGUAAGGGUAAAGAUCCUAAAACUUAUAUUUCAAACACACAAGAAGAUGAUAAGGGAAGGUUCUAAAAGCAUCCAACUCAAGGUGUGAAGGUGAGAACAAGGACUUUUAAAAUAAGCAACAAGGUAGAGAUAAAUAGCAAUGAAAAGGAUAUAGUGUAGAGAAAAGUAUCAAGGGUUAUAGAACAAGGAUUUAUAGCAAUUUCAAAACCUUAUGACGACCAAUUUCUAACUAGGCUUAGGGCCUACAGUCAGCAUUGCUCUGAUACCACUUUGUAAUACCCGAUUUUAAGGACAAAACCAGAUAUGCACCAUAUGUGAGUUUUAGAAGUCAAAUCUCACAUAUAGCUACAAAUAAGGGUUAAUAUCAAAGAACAAUGCAUAAAUAUAUAACGUACGUAAUAUUAAAGAGAUAACCUUUAAUAGCAAACAGCGGAUAGACAACUUUAAACUUCGGGUAUUAACUCCUCUCCACAGGAUCCAACUGACUGGUUGAUCACAAGCCCAAAACUUCUCCUGAGGUGUGGGGGGAAAUUGCAAGAGUGAGCACAUAUCGUACUCAACAAGUAUAACCAGGGGUUCAUGAGGCUCAAAUAGCUGACACUGGUUUGACUGCAUUUAGCUUUUAAUAGUUGAUAGCAUGUUUAAUCAUUGGAUAGCAAAUGUCAAGGUAGCAUAAUUAAUCCCAUAACCACAUGAUCAAUUGUAUACAGGAAUUAUGAAUAACACAUAUAAACAACAUAAUAAACCAUCAUUUAUCAUCAUUAAUCAAGUUCAUCAGUGUCCAUCUAUUCCGUCAGUUUUCCGGGCCGCCCGUAUCCGUGGGCACGGCUAGUAUACCAGAUUUAACACUCUGCAGAGGUUGUACAUCUUUACCCAUGAGUCAUGAUUUACCCUUUCGCCCG